rnacentral:misc_RNA from 1 species
AAACAGCCAUAUGUAGCCGUGACCGAUCGUAACCCUCCCCGUGAACGCUUGCUUUGUCGCGAUGGGGAUCAUGACGGUGACAGUGAUACUAACACUAACCCGUAAACCCUAAUUUUAUAGUCUCGCUGUGCUAAGCACACUACAACUCCUGGGCAAAAUCCUCAUAAGUCAGCUACCGCAGACUCAGAGGAUAUACCCGAUCAAAACGGGAACCUCCUUGGCUGUUCCUAGCAAAAACUAAAAGCAUAAAAGAAAAACCCUAAAUUCUUAGCCCAAAUUAAGCCCCAUCUCUCUUACUCGCUUACUCAAGCAACAAUGAGCCAUGGCUUAAACCACUUCGAAACCCUCUCUUCAUUCUCUGUUCACCUCAACAAAUUAAUCUUCACACCUUCUCUUUCUAAACGGUGGAGUUUUGUCUUGUUUUCCACUAAGAAUCAGAAUUUUUCUUCUCUGAAUUUCCAGUCAUGGCUGCCGCGGCUCACCUGCCACUCUAAGCGGUCCCACCGUGUCAGCUGCGUCCGCUGCAGAAAGGAAAUAACUACCAAGGCGUUAACGCAACCGCUGAAAGCAGGCAAACGCACCGAUUUGAAGAAAAAUUUGAUUCUUGGGGCGGGGCCCAUUGUGAUUGGUCAGGCUUGCGAG